rnacentral:misc_RNA from 1 species
AGACUCGGAGCAAAUAGAUGAUCCCAUUGAACCACAGAAUGAGAAGAUUAAUGUUGGAGAAGAGAGUGUCGACAAAACUAAUGGAAUUGGAGGAGAGUUUGAUGGCAAUUCAAAGGAUCAGGCUGUGGAAGAUAACCAGCAAUCUAUUGUGGAGUUUGAGAGUGAAAAGGAAGAGGGAGAACUAGUGCCUGAUGAUGCAGAAGCUGAGGAAGGCGCUGAUACGUCUAACAUAAUGGGGAGUCCAGAAAUUGGGGAGGUACCUGAGGUUGGCACUACUCCUGUUGCUUCACCAGCAAGGAUUGAGGAUGAAGCUGUAGUUGCUGGAGGAGUUGAGUUGGGUGAGAUGAAUUCUCCUGAGGCUUUUAAUGAGGAGAAGAAUGAUGAAGGUGAUGUGGCUGAGGAGACUAUUGAAGGUUCUGACAAGUCAAAUGAUGGUAAUGAUCAGAUUGCAGGGGAGAGUGAUCAGAUUCCUGAAACUGCUUCAGUAACUGUUGAGAGUACAACAGCCACUGUGAAUGCAGAAGCUGCUGAUGUCUCAAAACAAGUAACAGAGACUGGAGAGGUUAAACAAGUAUCGCCUGCAAGUAAUUCCUCAACUGUUGUGAAUUUAGCGGAGAGAGCGAAGGAAAGGGCUAUGCUUAGACAAUCUGGAACUGCAGUGCUUUCUCCUCCAGGCAGUAGAGGCCGUGGACGAGCAGUACGUGGUCGAGCUGUACGUGGUGCACGUGGUGGACGAACUGGACGUGGGCAUACUCCCGGUCAACAGGGAUGAGUGUUGUUAAUACAAACCGUGUUGAUGACCCUUGUUUUAAGAAAACAUUUUUGCUCUGGAGAAGUUUGUACUUCAUAUGCAUUAUUAAAUUUGUCUAUGGAUAGAAAUGAAAAAUUUACAGGAAGCAGUGUCAUUUUGUUAUCAAUAACCUCUUCCUUCCUAUCUUUCAAUGUUUUUCUAGCUGAUAGAUAAAAAUAAGUAGCUGCCAGUGGAAAUAAUACCAACCCCAUGCUACUGAUCUCAGAUUGUGAUUGUAAUUUUCCACUG